rnacentral:rRNA from 1 species
UACAGAGGGGGCAAGCGUUGUUCGGAAUUACUGGGCGUAAAGGGCGCGUAGGCGGUCCCGUCAGUCCCUUGUGAAAUCCCACGGCUCAACCGUGGACGUGCAUCCAAAACUGCGUCGCUAGAGUCUCGGAGAGGAAGGUGGAAUGCUUGGUGUAGAGGUGAAAUUCGUAGAUAUCAAGCAGAACACCUGCGGCGAAGGCGGCCUUCUGGACGAUGACUGACGCUGAGACACGAAAGCGUGGGGAGCAAACAGG